UGAGGAGCGUGUUGCCGUCCUUGGUGAGCUUGAUGUCACCGGCGCCGCCGACGAGCAUCUUGAUGGUGCCCUUGGGACCGAGGUUGGUCUUGAGGACGUCCUGGAGGCCCUUGGCGGCGUUGAUAUUCAUGUGAAGGGCGGCGGACUUGUUGAGCACCUCGGCGUUGGGGUUCAGCACGCGGAGAGACAUCGUGAUCGCCGGUAGCGGAGAUGGGGGCGGGCGGCGGCG
rnacentral:misc_RNA from 1 species